rnacentral:rRNA from 1 species
GCAGUCGAGCGGGGAAGAGUAGCUUGCUACUUUACCUAGCGGCGGACGGGUGAGUAAUGCUUAGGAAUCUGCCUAUUAGUGGGGGACAACAUCUCGAAAGGGAUGCUAAUACCGCAUACGUCCUACGGGAGAAAGCAGGGGACCUUCGGGCCUUGCGCUAAUAGAUGAGCCUAAGUCGGAUUAGCUAGUUGGUGGGGUAAAGGCCUACCAAGGCGACGAUCUGUAGCGGGUCUGAGAGGAUGAUCCGCCACACUGGGACUGAGACACGGCCCAGACUCCUACGGGAGGCAGCAGUGGGGAAUAUUGGACAAUGGGGGGAACCCUGAUCCAGCCAUGCCGCGUGUGUGAAGAAGGCCUUUUGGUUGUAAAGCACUUUAAGCGAGGAGGAGGCUACCGAGAUUAAUACUCUUGGAUAGUGGACGUUACUCGCAGAAUAAGCACCGGCUAACUCUGUGCCAGCAGCCGCGGUAAUACAGAGGGUGCAAGCGUUAAUCGGAUUUACUGGGCGUAAAGCGCGCGUAGGUGGCCAAUUAAGUCAAAUGUGAAAUCCCCGAGCUUAACUUGGGAAUUGCAUUCGAUACUGGUUGGCUAGAGUAUGGGAGAGGAUGGUAGAAUUCCUGUGUAGCGGCUGAAAUGCGUAGAGAUCUGGAGGAAUACCGAUGGCGAAGCAGCCAUCUGGCCUAAUACUGACACUGAUGUGCGAAAGCAUGGGGGAGCAAACAGGAUUAGAUACCCUGGUAGUCCAUGCCCGUA